UACGGAAGGGGGCUAGCGUUGCUCGGAAUCACUGGGCGUAAAGGGUGCGUAGGCGGGUCUUUAAGUCAGGGGUGAAAUCCUGGAGCUCAACUCCAGAACUGCCUUUGAUACUGAAGAUCUUGAGUUCGGGAGAGGUGAGUGGAACUGCGAGUGUAGAGGUGAAAUUCGUAGAUAUUCGCAAGAACACCAGUGGCGAAGGCGGCUCACUGGCCCGAUACUGACGCUGAGGCACGAAAGCGUGGGG
rnacentral:rRNA from 1 species